rnacentral:tRNA from 5 species
GCGGGCGUAGCUCAGCGGUAGAGCGCAACCUUGCCAAGGUUGAUGUCGAGAGUUCGAUCCUCUUCGCCCGCUCCA